GCUCCUGUAGCCCAACUGGAAGAGGCGGCUGUCUCAAAAACAGUCUGUGUACGGGUACUGCUCCGCAGAAGCAAGCUACAACUCCCGUCAGGAGUA
rnacentral:tRNA from 1 species